GUCACUUCAGCAGCACACAUACUAAAAUUGGAACACUACAGAGAAUAUUAGCAUGGCUCUUGCACAAAGAUAACAGAAAUUUGUGAAAUAUCCCAUAUUAAA
rnacentral:snRNA from 1 species